AUGAGUGUGCCCACUCAGGUCCUGGGGUUGCUGCUGCUGUGGCUUACAGAUGCCAGAUGUGACAUCCAGAUGACUCAGUCUCCAGCCUCCCUAUCUGUAUCUGUGGGAGAAACUGUCACCAUCACAUGUCGAGCAAGUGAGAAUAUUUACAGUAAUUUAGCAUGGUAUCAGCAGAAACAGGGAAAAUCUCCUCAGCUCCUGGUCUAUGCUGCAACAAACUUAGCAGAUGGUGUGCCAUCAAGGUUCAGUGGCAGUGGAUCAGGCACACAGUAUUCCCUCAAGAUCAACAGCCUGCAGUCUGAAGAUUUUGGGAGUUAUUACUGUCAACAUUUUUGGGGUACUCCUCC